CUGUGACAUCUCUCAUGACUGAUAAGACAAGCAGGGUGAAGUCAGAUUUGUUUUUCCUUUCAGCAACAUCACAAGAAAUGCAUUUUCUCACGUUGAGCUGGGAACAUCUGAUUAAGAACUCUGAAGGAGGAAGAACCCCA